rnacentral:rRNA from 1 species
UACGGAGGGUGCAAGCGUUGUCCGGAAUCACUGGGCGUAAAGGGCGCGUAGGCGGCUCAUGAAGUCUGUGGUGAAAGUCCGGGGCUCAACCUCGGAUCGGCGGUGGCGACUCGUGGGCUGGAGCACUGUAGAGGCGGGUGGAAUUCCGGGUGUAGCGGUGGAAUGCGUAGAGAUCCGGAAGAACACCGGUGGCGAAGGCGGCCCGCUGGGCAGUGGCUGACGCUGAGGCGCGAAAGCGUGGGGAGCAAACAGG